GAUGAACGCUGGCGGCGUGCUUAAUACAUGCAAGUCGAACGGAGAUAGUAGCAAUAUUAUCUUAGUGGCGAACGGGUGAGUAACGCGUUGGUGACCUGCCCCGAAGAGAGGGAUAGCAGUUCGAAAGGACUGAUAAUACCUCAUGUGGUUGUUGGUUUUAGAAUCUGACAACUAAACGGAUUUAUUCGCUUCGGGAGGGGCCUGCGUCCCAUCAGCUAGUUGGUAGGGUAAUGGCCUACCAAGGCGAUGACGGGUAGGGGACCUGAGAGGGUGGCCCCCCACAAUGGAACUGAAACACGGUCCAUACACCUACGGGUGGCAGCAGUAGGGAAUAUUGGUAAUCUGCGAAAGCGGGAACCAGCAACGCCGCGUGCACGAUGAAGGCCUUCGGGUCGUAAAGUGCUUUUAGAGAGGAUGAGGAAGGACAGUACUUUCUGAAUAAGCCUCGGCUAACUACGUGCCAGCAGCCGCCGUAAAAC
rnacentral:rRNA from 1 species